rnacentral:rRNA from 1 species
GCCCAACUCCGAAUCCCGCGGUCGAUACCGGGCGCCGGGAAAUGUGGUGUUAGGGAGGAUCCGUUUAUCCCGAGGUCGUGCGGCGAGUCCAAGUCCUUCUUGAACGGGGCCACAGCCCAUAGAGGGUGCCAGGCCCGUAGCGGCCGCUGCCGAUCGCGGGAGGGUCUCUCCUCAGAGUCGGGUUGCUUGAGAGUGCAGCCCUAAGUGGGUGGUAAACUCCAUCUAAGGCUAAAUAUGACCACGAGACCGAUAGCGAACAAGUACCGUGAGGGAAAGUUGAAAAGCACUUUGAAGAGAGAGUUCAAGAGUACGUGAAACCGUUCAGGGGUAAACCUGAGAAACCCGAAAGGUCGAAAGGGGAAAUUCAUUCGCGUUUCGGCUGUCGGCGAUGAGCGGUCGCGCGACGGAUGACGUUCGCGCGUCGUCCGCGCCUUUCGUUUUUCGAACCGGCGUCGAACGCGUGCACUUUUCCCCUAGUAGGACGUCGCGAUCCGUUGGGUGUCGGUCUACGGCCCGCAGUGGAGUCCGUGUGCGAUCUCGUUUCGCGACGAAUCGUGCUCGAACCUGCGGUGUCCCGGCCGACUCGCUCGACGGUAUACAGAUGGCGCGAGGCCGCUACACUCUUCAGGUGAAUUAGCGUCCGACCCGCGGCAAGCGCGUUCGAUGCUAAGACGGCGAUCGGACCUAGCGCCGAUUCCGUUUCCGGACGACUGUUGGCCGUGCGGAUCUCUCGGACAGA